rnacentral:lncRNA from 1 species
GCUGCUUCAGGGGUGGGUUGAGGUUUUAAGUGGCUGGGGUGGCUUUUCUUUUUCCCUUGUGCUUAGUUUCUGACCUUGUACAGUGAUAUCUACUGGCAAAGCAAUGAGGACCUCCCUGGUGAUGUGAAAGUGACUUGGUCCUAAGCAAGAUUUUUCAGAAAGCAGGAAAGGAUUCAUCACAUCUGCAGCAGAAAAGAGGGAGUUUUUGCUCCAGAUUAUUUCUAUGUCAGAAUAGUGCAGAGGAGUGAUGGGUUCAAAAGAGGGCCUUUUUUACCAAAGUGCUCAUUGGCAACCCCAGAAGUGCACUCAUGAAUGUCAGCCUCUGUCAGAAGAAGCACCAAUAUGUGCUUGUCUCUGCUUCUCAAGACUUCAUGGGUAUCUUCUGUCCAGCUCACAG